GUCCGGUAAGGGAAAGCUACUGACGCCACACAGCCCUGCUGGAAGCGAGAAGGGAGGCCUUUCUAAAACCCAUUAUGGAGCUGCUCAGGGAGGAAUGGAGGCUGCGACUCAGGGUGAGAUCUUGCACAGCUCAAAUGUGGAGUUCAUGGCUUCAUAAAGCUGCAGUUCCUCCUGAGAGGAGCACCUGAAAGAGGGGUUUGUUGAGAGGAAUGGUCUGGAGGAUGCUUCCAUCGGGACUCACGUACCCAAUAGCCCACUGCCCCAGGCGAGUACAGCUGGGCCUGAAGAUGUAGCUGUGGGGAGAGAGUGGGAUGGAGCGAGAGAGUGGUCGCUGCUGUCCCUGAUGGGAACACCCAGUUGUCUGCCCCGCCCGGAAUCCAGCUUGUAGUGCAUGGGGAGCUCUGGGAAGCCACUGCUCUGUACCCUGACCUUCCAGAGCCCUGUAGAGAUAUCUUCCCUCAACCUCUGGGUGCUCAGCUCCUCAUCCUAAGCUCACUAAGGAGCUCCAAUGACUCUAAGCCUCUGACCUGAGAAGAAGUAAGAUCUCCAAUGUCAGUCUUCCCAGUCUCCUACUCUAACCCACGAGGGCUCAUGUUCGAAAUAUUUCAGAGGCUGGACAAGCUGAGCAUGCUGCCCACCUGUAAUCCCAGCAUUCAGGAAGCUGAAGCAAGAGGUUCCUGGUUUCAAACCCAGCCUGGGCGGCAGGGAGACCUUGUCCCAAAAGAAAACAAAUAAAUCCCAGCAAAAUGCUGAGUGUAAGUGUGACAUCUGUAACCCCAGCAUUUGGGAGGUAAAGGAAGGAUGAUCAGGAUUUAAAGGGUCAUCCUUAGCUAGACGGCAAGUUUGAGGCCAGUCUGGGCUAUAGGAAGCAAGCCCUUUCACCGCGGAACAAUCUUUUUGUACACUAUGAAUAUGUAUUACUCUCUUGCCUGAUAAAGAGUUGACUGGCCUAUAGCAGGGCAGGAUGAGACUAGGCAGGAAAAUCAGAUGAAAAGGAUCCUGGGAGGAAGAAGGGCAGAGUCAUGGGGGUCAGAGGCGAUGCCAACCAGACACAGAGGGAACAGGAGAUGAACACACCAUGCUAAUAAGGGUACCGCCACAUGGCAGAGGGUAGAUAAGAUAUAUUAGUUAAUUUAAAAUGUAAGAAUAUAAUCCUGACCUAUUGGCUGAGCAUUUAUAGUUGACACUAAGACUCUGAGUAGUUAUUUGGGAGCAGGCAGUCAAGACAGUAAAACUCCGUCUACACCCUAUCUCCAAACAAAGCCAUUUAAUGGGCUCACCGCAUGGCCCCUGACUUGUCAGAGAUGGGCCUGAUCUCGGUGAGGGCCUUCAGGACGCCUUGCUGGAUCAGGUAUUGUUGCUUUAGUUGCUGAGCCAUGGAAUGACCCAGGGGACCCCAGGGAAAGAGACUGGGCAUUAAAACUUAGGGUUUUUUUUUUUGUUGUUUGUUUGUUUUUUGUUGCUUUGUUUUGUUUUGAGAUAGAAUUUCUCUGUGUAUCCCUGGCUGUCCUAUAAC